UAGGGAAUCUUCCGCAAUGGGCGAAAGCCUGACGGAGCAACGCCGCGUGAGUGAUGAAGGUCUUCGGAUCGUAAAACUCUGUUAUUAGGGAAGAACAUAUGUGUAAGUAACUGUGCACAUCUUGACAGUACCUAAUCAGAAAGCCACGGCUAACUACGUGCCAGCAGCCGCGGUAAUACGUAGGUGGCAAGCGUUAUCCGGAAUUAUUGGGCGUAAAGCGCGCGUAGGCGGUUUUUUAAGUCUGAUGUGAAAGCCCACGGCUCAACCGUGGAGGGUCAUUGGAAACUGGAAAACUUGAGUGCAGAAGAGGAAAGUGGAAUUCCAUGUGUAGCGGUGAAAUGCGCAGAGAUAUGGAGGAACACCAGUGGCGAAGGCGACUUUCUGGUCUGUAACUGACGCUGAUGUGCGAAAGCGUGGGGAUCAAACA
rnacentral:rRNA from 1 species